AUGGCGCCUCUCGGUGAUACUGUUGCUCCUGUGGCCGCCGCCGCGGUGCCCGGCUUCGUCGUUUCCUUCGGUGAGAUGCUGAUCGACUUUGUGCCGAACGUGGCCGGCGUCUCGCUCGCUGAGUCCGGAGGCUUCGUCAAGGCGCCCGGGGGUGCGCCCGCCAACGUCGCAUGUGCCGUUUCCAAGCUCGGCGGCUCCUCCGCCUUCGUCGGCAAGUUUGGCGACGACGAGUUCGGCCACAUGCUGGUGGACAUCCUCAAGCAGAACGGCGUGAACGCGGAGGGCUGCCUCUUCGACCAGCACGCGCGCACCGCCCUGGCCUUCGUCACCCUCAAGUCCAACGGAGAGCGCGAGUUCAUGUUCUACCGCAACCCGUCCGCUGACAUGCUCCUCACCGAGGCGGAGCUCAACCUCGACCUCAUCCACCGCGCCCGCAUCUUCCACUAUGGCUCCAUCUCGCUCAUCACCGAGCCCUGCCGCUCCGCCCACGUGACGGCAUCAUGA
rnacentral:rRNA from 1 species